UGAACUUUUACACUAUAAAGUGCAUAAAUUAUGUUCUAUUUGUUAUAUGCAAAGAGAUACAUAAAUGGCUAAAAUUUUCAACUUUGUUUAUGUUAUGAUUUUAUUUCUUUCCCUGCAUAUUUUUUUAAAAGAGGUCGAUGCACAACGUACAUGUAAAACAGAUGCUGAUUGUCCAAAAAUUCCAAGCUUGUAUCCAACAAUUUAUAAGUGCCUUGACGGAAUAUGUAGAUUUUCUGAAGCGAAGCUUCUUAUUUUAUAAGUAUCAGACCCAAUAGGGUACACAUACUUCAUGCAUGGAAGAAUUAGUUCUUGCCCUACCAAAAAAACCUAGGCUAUAAUGCUCCAUGUGUUGUCAUACAAUAAUUGUAUCUUUUAUUUUUUUUAGUUUUGAAAUUUCAUAGAAGGUAAAAUGAUGUAUUUUUACUCUAAUACCUUAGUAAUAAAAUGAAAUAGGUAAAUUCCUCACCGAUCGAGAGGAGCAUUCUGUUGAUGAA